AGAAAAAACCUAACCCUAGUUAUGAAAGAACCAAACGACGCCUUCUCUCAGUUCUCCCUCUUCAGCCGCAUCAAAUCGACCAACUCGUCUGAGUUUCAGACGAGUUCUUCACCAAAACUCACCUCACGCACCCCCCAUCCCACCACGUCAUCAUAUUGUAACGGUUUCUGACAGAUGCCCACCUCCCUUCUCACGUGUUGGAAGCCUCUAGAAGGCAUAUGCUGGAUGAAUGGGGACCGUGGGAUCGAUUUCGAUUGAUCCCAACCCUUCAUUCAUCAAGUGUUUGCCUGAUAACUAGAGGAAUUUUGGUUUCUUUUGGGGGGACAGAUUUUCGGAGGUUUUUUUUUUCAGAGGGUUUUUUGGAGAGGAAAUUUAGAGAGGAAAGUUCUUUUCCCGUUUUCUUUAUUUCAAGAUCAGAAAAUACAAAAAGAAAAAUAGUCUGUUUCUUCUGGUUCAAUUUCAGAAUUUUUGGGUGUUGAAAUGGAGUUUGUUUGAGGCGUUUGAGGUUUCAUCGCAGUGGUCGUUCGUCAGUCGAGUUUGUUGGCUCGAGUUCCUGUGACAAUUUUGUUGCUAUUGUAUUAUCGUCGGAUUUUCAUCUUGGUGAAUUUGUCGUGGAAAUUUUCUUUACAUAUUAAAGAAGAAGCAUUUAACAGACCGGACAAGCUGGUGCAUUCAUGUGCAGUUUUCAGAAAGUUCCGUUUGUCUUCCUCUCUUAGAAAUGAGUUUGUGAUGGACGAUUUGAUAUUUUUUCUGCUAGGGGUUCGGUUAUCGUCACCUUAAUUUGGAUUAAUCAAUGUUUUAAGCAUGUCGACACCCUAGCAGUUUCUUUCUCUAUUUAAAGUCAGCAUAUUUGUACAUAGCUUUAUUUGAAAGUGAUGUUUUCCAAUUAUAUGUUUCAAAGUUGGCACUUCUGAUGAGUCCCUUAAAGGUUCCUUUGGUUCAAAAGACAUUGUUUAAAUUAUAGUCAUUAGUAGGCUUAAACGCCAUGAUCUGAGGCUAUUUAGGAGCUGCGAUAUCAAUGUUCUCAUCUGCAAAUGUGGAGUUGUUUUUGGUAUCUGUAGAGUUUGUAAUUGGGUUCUUUAUUGACCAUUGCUGUCCGUAUUACAAUUUUUUUUUUUGUCAUGAACUUUUGAACUUGAUUUCUAAGCUUGGACAUCUGUUUGUGAAUAUGAGAAAAUGAUAUAAUAUGUUAGUAUAUACUGGGAGAAAAUCCAGAACUAUUUCAA